AGAGGAAGUAAAAGUCGUAACAAGGUUACGGUAGGUGAAGCUACGGAACGAUCAUUA
rnacentral:rRNA from 1 species